rnacentral:rRNA from 1 species
GAGGAAUAUUGGUCAAUGGACGCAAGUCUGAACCAGCCACGUCGCGUGAAGGAAGACGGCCCUACGGGUUGUAAACUUCUUUUGCAAGGGAAUAAAGUGGGCCACGUGUGGCCUUUUGCAAGUACCUUGCGAAUAAGGAUCGGCUAACUCCGUGCCAGCAGCCGCGGUAAUACGGAGGAUCCGAGCGUUAUCCGGAUUUAUUGGGUUUAAAGGGUGCUCAGGCGGGAUGUUAAGUCGGCGGUGAAAUUUUGCGGCUCAACCGUAAAAGUGCCUUCGAAACUGGCAGCCUUGAGUGUGGAUGAGGUAGGCGGAAUUUGUGGUGUAGCGGUGAAAUGCAUAGAUAUCACGAGGAACUCCGAUUGCGCAGGCAGCUUACCAAGCCAUAACUGACGCUCAAGCACGAAGGCGUGGGGAUCAAAC